rnacentral:lncRNA from 1 species
UUGACAAUGCUCGAUGUAUGUCCGAAGGCAGUACUCCUCAACCAUGGACAUUCUAGCCUAGCCCUAGCCUAAAAGGAUAAACUCUCACAAAUCAAGAGGCUAGGCAAAUCAUGGGAAAAAGGAUGGAUGUCAUAAGAGAUAUUCAUAAAAAAAUCAUCCAAGCACACUAUUAACAGCACAUCAGACGUUGAAAUGACUAAACCAUGCCAUGCCAGUGGCCAGUUGACUAUUCUAUCAAAAUUAAAAAUAUGUGGUGGUAUGAGUAAACUCGGGUGGAUUGGUUAGAUAGGGAGUUGAAUACAAUACUAUCAAAAGGGAGUGUGUUUAGUUCAUUGGACGGACAUGGGCAGG